UACCCGGUGGUGUAAUGGUAACACUCCAGGUUUUGGUCCUGGCAUUCCUGGUUCGAGUCCAGGCCGGGUAG
rnacentral:tRNA from 1 species